GGUGUGAUGGCCCAGACCAUUGUGCACCAGCUGGAGGGGCCGGUCACCACCAAGGAAGGGGACGCCUUCCAGAUCAAUUGCACAUACCAAACUGCCAACUUCUACUGGGUCUCAGAUGCUGGGCUGUCUCCUACCUGUGUGCUGUGAGAGACACGCUGACUCUAGAGGCUUCCUGAGCUGUGCAGUAUCUGGAGCAGUGGCUCUGAGAUGGGCCAUGGCCCAGGUUUUCCAGCCCUCUCAGCUCACAUAUGUGGAAGGAGAAAGGCUCUUGAUCCCAUGCAGCCAAAAUGCCACCUCCCAUGACAUGAUGUCUUGGUACAAACAGCCCCAGCAGGGUCGGGGGGCGCUGAGCUUUCUAGGGAUUGGGCAUGAUGGCACUUCCACUGCUGGAGAAUUCACCAUGGCUGUGGACAAGGCCUCCCGCUCCGUCAGCCUCACCCGAGAUGGAGCCAGCCUGAGAGAUGCCGGCAUCUACUACUGCACAGUGAGAGACACAGUGAGGGGAACCCAGGUGCCAGCUGCACAGAAACCUGCAGCCUGGCUUCCUGCUGGGUUCUCCUGAGUCAGCCCAGCACCAGGUGCCCCUCGCUUCAAGGUGAAGCACCUCUUCUGUUCAAAAGACUUUUUCAAAGUGCUCUAGAAUCUGCAUGCAGAAUCAGAUCUGCUGGAAAACUGCUAGGAUAGAUGGGAGGU